rnacentral:rRNA from 1 species
ACUGUGUGUUGUUGGGUAGGGGAGCGUUCUGUAAGCCUGUGAAGGUGUGUCGUGAGGCAUGCUGGAGGUAUCAGAAGUGCGAAUGCUGACAUAAGUAACGAUAAAGCGGGUGAAAAGCCCGCUCGCCGGAAGACCAAGGGUUCCUGUCCAACGUUAAUCGGGGCAGGGUGAGUCGACCCCUAAGGCGAGGCCGAAAGGCGUAGUCGAUGGGAAACGGGUUAAUAUUCCCGUACUUGGUGUUACUGCGAAGGGGGGACGGAGAAGGCUAUGUUGGCCGGGCGACGGUUGUCCCGGUUUAAGCGUGUAGGUGUGUGUUCCAGGUAAAUCCGGUUCACUUUAACACUGAGGCGUGACGACGAGGCACUACGGUGCUGAAGCAACAAAUGCCCUGCUUCCAGGAAAAGCCUCUAAGCAUCAGGUAACAUCAAAUCGUACCCCAAACCGACACAGGUGGUCAGGUAGAGAAUACCAAGGCGCUUGAGAGAACUCGGGUGAAGGAACUAGGCAAAAUGGUGCCGUAACUUCGGGAGAAGGCACGCUGACAUGUAGGUGAAGUGAUUUACUCAUGGAGCUGAAGUCAGUCGAAGAUACCAGCUGGCUGCAACUGUUUAUUAAAAACACAGCACUGUGCAAACACGAAAGUGGACGUAUACGGUGUGACGCCUGCCCGGUGCCGGAAGGUUAAUUGAUGGGGUCAGCGCAAGCGAAGCUCCUGAUCGAAGCCCCGGUAAACGGCGGCCGUAACUAUAACGGUCCUAAGGUAGCGAAAUUCCUUGUCGGGUAAGUUCCGACCUGCACGAAUGGCGUAAUGAUGGCCAGGCUGUCUCCACCCGAGACUCAGUGAAAUUGAACUCGCUGUGAAGAUGCAGUGUACCCGCGGCAAGACGGAAAGACCCCGUGAACCUUUACUAUAGCUUGACACUGAACAUUGAGCCUUGAUGUGUAGGAUAGGUGGGAGGCUUUGAAGUGUGGACGCCAGUCUGCAUGGAGCCGACCUUGAAAUACCACCCUUUAAUGUUUGAUGUUCUAACGU